rnacentral:lncRNA from 1 species
AGGAACUUGUAUGCUACUGUUCUUUAUCGGCAAAGUUUUGAACUAGUUUUGUACCGAAAUGUACCGUUCAAGAUAAGUUUUGUACUCUCACGAUAGGGGAGCCAAGGGGGGGGGGGUUGUCGUCAAAAGGGGGGAGGUUGGGGAAACAUUUUCGAAAAAACGGACCUAGGUACUCGAAAACCCUCAGAAUGUAUACAAAAAGUUUUGUACCAAAAUGUCCUACUACACUAUUGCACUCCGACCGUCCUGAAACUUCGUUUAAGGGAUCCUCGUAGAUUGAUAGUAAAAUAACAGAUACGGAAAAGGAAAGAAAAUUGCAAGAGUGGAAGGCGGAAUCCAUUGAGGUCUUGACCGAGAGGACGUCCGGGCCGGCACCCAAAAUUUUUUCCGAGAACUUUGUUGAUAUUAUUUUUGGUGAAAAAUAUUUACUCCUCGAGAUCGCAGAUGUUGAUGAUAGAUGCGUUCUUUGGAGGCAUCAGAGAAAUUCGAUGGCUGAUUUUCGUGAAUUGCCCGAUGACCAACUGCAAACCAACUUUUGUCAUGUGACUGUCAUGGCGGCUCAGGUUUUGUAUUUGUUUACUAUUUAAGACAUUGAGGUUAUCUCAACGCUCAGCGGCCUUGCCCAUCACCUUUGAAAGGUGCUGGGCGAUUGCGUUGGCCGAUUGCCCGCCAUGACAGUCAUCGGGCAAUUAGCGAGAAGUCAGCAAGUCCUAGAGAACGAUCGUCAAACUCUCAACGGUACCCAUCGGGUAACCAUCAGUUGACCUGAUGCCUCCAGAGAACGCAUCUGAUGAAGAGUUACAAGCUGUUCUUUUUGCGCUUCAAGGGAGCAAAUCGAUGCAAGAAGUAACAGAAAUUCUUCUUAACAAUCCUCAACUUAAGCGAAUUGGGUGCCCAAGUUGUAUCUCCUCACUGAGUGACCUAAAUGAUCUCAUUGCUGAUAUUAUCAACUACCAGUGUUUUACGCGUGUGGCUGAGCCGAUACAACAGUUCAUCGAAGGUUUGAGUAUGGGCGGUGUUUUAAAAGUAAUGAAGCGUAAUCCUGAUAAAUUUAAGAAAUAUUUCUUGAAAAGUUCUCCACUUUCUCCGGCAGAGAUAUCUGAUUUAUUCCAACUUGAUUCCUUUUUGUGGGCUUCAGCCCCAGAGCCGGCAAUGACUUACUGGAACCGGCUGUUGAGAGACUUGGCUAGUAAGUUUCAUUUUUCUCCCUUAAUUAAUGAAAACAUGAAUGUAUUGGUUAAAAGUAGUCUCCUUUUUAGUGAUCUCUUACGUUAGAGGGUAUGAAAGGAGGUUAAGUUAAUCAACAACCGUUUUGAAAAACAUUUGCAAAUCUGUGAAUUUUUAACCAAAUCAGCUCUACAAUAUCUGGUGUCAAACUUAAAGAUUUUAUACCUACUGAACUGUGCGGAUCAUAUUUCGCUAUCUGCUUUCGUUCACUCUUACCUUGAAUCCUUACACUACUUUCGGAGCAGCCAUUGUACAAACCAAUGGGCUGUGACAUUUUCUCUUCUCCAAGUAUGUUCAGGAGUGCCAAGGGUGCUCAGGAGGGUGGUAAAGGAGGGAUGAUGACCCUCCGAACCCUUACAUAAAUUUUUCUCAUCCCGUAGGGGGUGUUUUCCCGGAGCUUGUUCAUAAGCAAGAGCUUGUAUGGUAGAUGUACUUACAAGGAGCAACUUAGACUUAGACAAAGUGAAUUAAUGAAGCCUUCUUUUCUUACAGAUGUUCCCGCCGGCAGCGUCCCGCAGACUGAGCCGGAACAGACGAAGAAACCUUAAGAGAAGGAUCCUGAGGCGGAACAGACGAAGAAACCUGAGGCGGAACAGACGACGAAUCCUGAAGAAAAGAAGCCUGAGCCGGAACAGACGAAGAAACCUGAAGAGAAGGAGCCGGAACAGGGGGAGGAGGCGGAAGGUAUUUUUAUUUUUUAUUAUGCCUUAAACUCUUUGCAGCAUACGCUGGUGAUGUAACUUGAUUUUUUAUGUCUUUAACUUUCUCUCAUGCUUUUGCAUCAGUGAAGCAGUAGCGGGAGGUGGUACUUUUUUUAUUAUGCCUGUUGAUCUGCAAUUGUUGCGAAAGGUAUUUCUUAUUUUUAUUAUGCCUUAAACUGUUGCUGCUGUAUGUAACUGAUAGAUAGAAAAGAUGUCCAUUUUUAAUUACAGAUAUAUCAGGAGCUGUCGCAUCGGUGGAGGUAGAAGAUAUGACCGGUUCAGAUUGGCUUCGCUAUGCUAUAUAAAAUGCCCCUUCACUAGUAAUAUGAUCAAAACUUUUUACGAGAAGACACGCAAAGGAUACCCUGGAUGUGCUUUAGGGUGUAAAGAGUUGCUUCCAGACCGAUUUGUUGUAGAAUGGUUUUUGAGCGAGGGAGGACUUCCCCAAGGGUACAGGGAGUACCCUUUCUCUCCAAAUGUAAGUAGGGUGAUAAUUAAUUGUAUUAAUUAAUUUUUAAUUAAUUUCAGAUGCGGUCAUUGUGCGGCCUUGUGAGGCGUCCCCACCCGGACAGGGAGAGCCCCGAGAGACCCAUAAGAAUAGACGCAUAACGGAGCUCACGCCAUAAUACACAUAGUUCCGUCCGACAGAAACACAUCCAAUGGACCACUAGACAAGGUACGAAUUUCAGCAUUCUGAUACAUGCUUCUUGACCAAAAUUUCACGUAAAACUCGAUGCGCACAACGAAAAGUACCGAAAUCAACUCCUUACGAAGAUAUUCAAGAAUUCUUGAUGCGUGAGUUCAAACGACCCGCUCAUGAAAGCUCAAUGCUCUACGUGAUUCACAUCGUGCGCUAAACGUUAUCAUGACAGUCUCUGCGAUAUACAAAUCUGGCAACCUCAAUCUUGAUGUUUGGCUUAGCCGUAGCAAAUUACUUAUAGUUUGAACAACACAUGGUGGGAAAUGAACAUUGCUCGAUUGAGAAGAGUGCUUAAACCGUUGUAGUGCGCGAUUUGACUCACGUUGAGCUUUGAGUUUCUUGUGAGCGGGCAGUUCAAAUUCCUUGAAACCAAUGUGAAAUAAAAACGUUAAUAUCUUCCUUAGGAGUUAAUUUCAGUAAUUUUCGUAGCGCGCAUCGUGUAUUGCGUGAAAUUUUGGUUAAGAAACAUGGAUCAGGUUGCUUAAAUUCGUACCUUUUCUAUAGGUCCAUUAUUAAAAUAAAAAGAAUUCUCAUCUGAAAUAUGCUUUCAAUAGGCGUACAGAGUGCGCUGGGCCGCCCGAUCCGUAGAUCGUAGGCGGACUGUGUGGAUUCGCUGCCGCGCAUUCGAAUUAUUGCGGGGCAAAAAAGGCCCGCCCACAUCAUACACAGCGCCUUCGACAUCGUAGAAAUACUUCCAACGCUACACCGUUACACAUACGUCCCGAUGCGCAAAUUGCCUAUACUGCGCCUGCCGGAGUGUGCACCACUGCGUGACGGUGUAGCGUUGGAGGUAUUCCCAGGAUGUCGAAGGCGCUGUGUAUAGUGUGCGCGGGCGGGCGUGCCAUUUUCAGCCCGAAACAAUUCGAAUGCACGGCACGCAUUACAAACC